rnacentral:tRNA from 1 species
ACCAGCUCUGGCCAAAGGCCGCGCUGCGCUCACUGCUGAGUGGGACAAGCCAGCGGCUUUGGUUGGCUGUGGUGGUUCCAUUCCGAUUGUUGGCA